rnacentral:rRNA from 1 species
GCGCUGACGAGUGGCGGACGGGUGCGUAACGCGUAGGAAUCUGCCUAUUAGUGGGGGACAACCUGGUGAAAACCAGGCUAAUACCGCAUACGCCCUACGGGGGAAAGCAGGGGAUCUUCGGACCUUGCGCUAAUAGAUGAGCCUGCGUUAGAUUAGCUUGUUGGUGAGGUAAUGGCUCACCAAGGCGACGAUCUAUAGCUGGUCUGAGAGGACGAUCAGCCACACUGGGACUGAGACACGGCCCAGACUCC